ensembl:snRNA U6 U6 spliceosomal RNA
GUGCUCGCUUCGGCAGCACAUCUACUAAAAUUGGAGCGAUACAGAGAAGAUUAGCAUGGCCCUGCACAAGGAUGACAUGCAAAUUAGUGAAGCGUUCCAUAAUUUA